rnacentral:rRNA from 1 species
UCGAGAAUUUUGGGCAAUGGGGGCAACCCUGACCCAGCAAUGCCGCGUGCGGGAUGAAGGUCUUCGGAUUGUAAACCGCUGUCAAGAGGGACGAAUACAAUUGACGGUACCUCUGGAGGAAGUCACGGCUAACUACGUGCCAGCAGCCGCGGUAAUACGUAGGUGACAAGCGUUGUUCGGAUUCAUUGGGCGUAAAGGGUCCGCAGGUGGUUUGAUAAGUCUGACGUGAAAUACCGGAGCUCAACUCCGGAACUGCGUUGGAGACUGUUGAACUGGAGUAUCGGAGAGGAAAUUGGAAUUCCAGGUGUAGCGGUGGAAUGCGUAGAUAUCUGGAAGAACAUCGACAGCGAAGGCAGAUUUCUGGACGAUAACUGACACUCAGGGACGAAAGCAUGGGGAG